AGAGUUUGAUCCUGGCUCAGAUUGAACGCUGGCGGCAUGCCUAACACAUGCAAGUCGAACGGUAACAGAACUAGCUUGCUAGUUGCUGACGAGUGGCGGACGGGUGAGUAAUAUAUAGGGAUCUGCCUAAUAGUGGGGGACAACGUGUGGAAACGCACGCUAAUACCGCAUACGCUCUACGGAGGAAAGUGGGGGAUCUUCGGACCUCAUGCUAUUAGAUGAACCUAUAUCGGAUUAGCUUGUUGGUGAGGUAAUGGCUCACCAAGGCGACGAUCCGUAGCUGGUUUGAGAGAAUGAUCAGCCACACUGGGACUGAGACACGGCCCAGACUCCUACGGGAGGCAGCAGUGGGGAAUAUUGCACAAUGGACGAAAGUCUGAUGCAGCAAUGCCGCGUGUGUGAAGAAGGCCUUCGGGUUGUAAAGCACUUUCAGAUGUGAGGAAAAGCAGUCUAUUAAUACUAGAUUGCCGUGACGUUAACAUCAGAAGAAGGACCGGCUAACUCCGUGCCAGCAGCCGCGGUAAUACGGAGGGUCCAAGCGUUAAUCGGAAUUACUGGGCGUAAAGCGCGCGUAGGCGGAUAUUUAAGUCAGAUGUGAAAUCCCUGGGCUCAACCUAGGAACUGCAUUUGAAACUGGAUAUCUAGAGUAUGGUAGAGGUGAGUGGAAUUUCAGGUGUAGCGGUGAAAUGCGUAGAGAUCUGAAGGAACAUCAGUGGCGAAGGCGACUCACUGGGCCAUUACUGACGCUGAGGUGCGAAAGCGUGGGUAGCAAACAGGAUUAGAUACCCUGGUAGUCCACGCCCUAAACGAUGUCAACUAGGUGUGUGAGAGUCUAACUCUUGCGUAUCGAAGCUAACGCGAUAAGUUGACCGCCUGGGGAGUACGGUCGCAAGACUAAAACUCAAAUGAAUUGACGGGGGCCCGCACAAGCGGUGGAGCAUGUGGUUUAAUUCGAUGCAACGCGAAGAACCUUACCUGGUCUUGACAUCCUCGGAACUUUCCAGAAAUGGAUUGGUGCCUUCGGGAACCGAGUGACAGGUGCUGCAUGGCUGUCGUCAGCUCGUGUCGUGAGAUGUUGGGUUAAGUCCCGCAACGAGCGCAACCCUUGUCCUUAGUUGCCAUCAUUUAGUUGGGCACUCUAGGGAGACCGCCGGUGAUAAACCGGAGGAAGGUGGGGACGACGUCAAGUCAUCAUGGCCCUUAUGACCAGGGCUACACACGUGCUACAAUGGCCGGUACAGAGGGUUGCCAAGCCGCGAGGUGGAGCCAAUCCCAGAAAGCCGGUCGUAGUCCGGAUUGGAGUCUGCAACUCGACUCCAUGAAGUCGGAAUCGCUAGUAAUCGCGAAUCAGCAUUGUCGCGGUGAAUACGUUCCCGGGUCUUGUACACACCGCCCGUCACACCAUGGAAGUAGGUUGCACCAGAAGUAGGUAGUCUAACCCUCGGGAGGACGCUUACCACGGUGUGGCUUAUGACUGGGGUGAAGUCGUAACAAGGUAACC
rnacentral:rRNA from 1 species